CCUACGGGUGGCAGCAGUGAGGAAUAUUGGUCAAUGGGCGAGAGUCUGAACCAGCCAAGUCGCGUGAAGGAUGACUGCCCUAUGGGUUGUAAACUUCUUUUAUAAAGGAAUAAAACGAGGCACGUGUCCCUUUUGCACGUACUUUAUGAAUAAGGAUCGGCUAACUCCGUCCCAGCAGCCGCGGGAAUAAGGGGGGUUCGGGGGUUAACCGGAUUUUUUGGGUUUAAAGGGAGCGUAGGUGGGUUGUUAAGUCAGUUGUGAAAGUUUGCGGCUCAACCGUAAAAUUGCAAUUGAUACUGGCAGUCUUGAGUACAGUAGAGGUAGGCGGAAUUCGUGGUGUAGCGGUGAAAUGCUUAGAUAUCACGAAGAACUCCGAUUGCGAAGGCAGCUUGCUGAACUGUGACUGACGCUGAUGCUCGAAAGUGUGGGUAUCAAACAGGAUUAGAUACCCGGGUAGUC
rnacentral:rRNA from 1 species